rnacentral:snoRNA from 1 species
GUGGCUUUUACAUGUUUUAAAGAUUCAUGCUUUGAAUAAUUCAAAUGUGAAGCUUGUUAUGAAUGUAUCAGCCUACAUUAAAUUUAGUUUCCCUCGCUAUCCUGUUCGUCAAUUACGAUGAUGUUACUUAGGACGUCGGGGAACAAUAUUU